GAGGACGCGCUGGCCUGGGACGUGCACACAACGACCAGUAGCUCCGUUCCGAAGUAUUGGCGGUGGGUACCAGAUCUUGGAGAUAUGGUGUGCAGUAAUGGUUGCUUUCCUGUAUGAUGCUGUCCAACGAGCGAUUGGGGUUUUCUGCUCAGUAUGACUGUUCUGUCCACCAAAAACUUGGCGAGGCGCGAGGCCGGCACGCGGCAUCGAGUGCGGGGUACUCAGCCGCUGCUGCUUGUACAGAAACGUAUAUGAAUCGUAAGUAUAAUUGGCAACAGAUAUCGAGACAGGUGUGCAGCAGCGAAGCCAGCCGCGAUACAGGUACUCCAAGCGCACGCCCUGCUCAGUUCUGAGGGCGACUCCGAGGCGAGGUUGUUUGCGCGAUCGCGACGUUGACGACGCCCUAGGACGGCAUCAUCGCCAGCGGGGGGACGCUCACGCAUCGCAGAGCACCCGACCAGAGGCCAGUGACACUUCCAGGUGCUUGACACCCGAAAUGAGGACCCAGCUUAUGCUUCGUUCCUCGCUGCACGGUGCAGGUUCUCUGGCACAUGGGAUGGUUCUCAGUUUCUACACCGACGUCUGCAUAUUGCUUCCGUUUGACGGUGCAGAACCGAUGGAUCAAAGCAGGAUACCCCGAUGAGGCUACUUGUACCAGCCGUUUGGACAGGCACUUUGGUUUCUUCAUGGGCGUUUCGAUGCUCUCGCGCUCACAGUACAGUGCACCCGAAUGGAAAAGCGACCUGGUCCAUCUUGCGCUCCUACGGUAGUAGCGUUGACUACCCGCGCUAGAGGGAAUCGCCAGUGCGUGUGCUGCUGUAGACUUGUUACAGAGGCGCGACGACUUUGCGAUGACUCUCAUGGUGUCGGUUGGAGGAAAUAUUGUUCUUCCAGCGAGUCUAUCAGGUACCAGUGCGAAGCAUUUCGAGGAGUUGCCUCUGUCGUGGCACCGUGUGGGACGGAAAUCGGAGCGCCCAACACAGCGCUUUCCGUGAAGGUGCCGCAGCCGCCUUUUCACCUACUUUACGCUCCAAUUUCCAUCUCAGAUGCCAUGCCAGCAAGAGGCACGCAUCAGCCAUACCUGGGGGCUUCUAUGCCGCAUCGACGUAACGUGGACGCUUGGCCGAUGUUGCGGCUCUGGGCAGUUUCGCCGCAGCCUUGCCCGAGAGCACGCAUUCGCAGCUCGCCGUUGGGUGCGUGCCAGGCAAUCAGUGCCCUAUGGCCUGUUGCUGGGGUGCUGUCCAACAUGUCACUGCGAGCGUGUCUGUUGGCGUCGAUGCCGCUGCGCGAUGCACGCAUCGUGCACGACACGCAUUCGCCGACACGGAUGCAUGAACAGUUUGCAAUGGGUGCUAUGUGUACUGUAGACCGUUUGCGCAAGCUGCUAGUCGCUGUGCCUAGUGCUCUUCACGGACGCUUAGAAACGCAGCGAAUCAUAGUUUUUCAAGAAUAAAAUUUAU